rnacentral:misc_RNA from 1 species
AUCAAUGGGAGCUUGCUCCCUGAGAUUAGCGGCGGACGGGUGAGUAACACGUGGGUAACCUGCCUGUAAGACUGGGAUAACUUCGGGAAACCGGAGCUAAUACCGGAUAAUUUCUUUUCUCGCAUGAGGGAAGAUGGAAAGAUGGUUCUGCUAUCACUUACAGAUGGACCCGCGGCGCAUUAGCUAGUUGGUGAGGUAAUGGCUCACCAAGGCAGGGAAGAGUAGCCGACCUGAGAGGGUGAUCGGCCAC